rnacentral:rRNA from 1 species
AUCGAUGAAGAACGCAGCGAAAUGCGAUAAGUAAUGUGAAUUGCAGAAUUCAGUGAAUCAUCGAAUCUUUGAACGCACAUUGCGCCCAUUAGUAUUCUAGUGGGCAUGCCUGUUCGAGCGUCAUUUAGUCCACUUAAGCCUUUGCUUAGUAUUGGGAAUCUACUUUUACUCUGUAGUUGUAGUUCCUCAAAGACAGCGGCGGAGUCGUGGUUUUACUCUGAGCUUAGUAAUUUUUUUCUAGCUUUCGAGUCGCCAUWGCCCCCUUGCCGUAAAACACCCUUUAUUUUUUAAUGGUUGACCUCGGAUCAGGUAGGAAUACCCGCUGAACUUAAGCAUAUCAAUAAGCGGAGGAAAAGAAACCAACAGGGAUUGCCCCAGUAACGGCGAGUGAAGCGGCAACAGCUCAAAUUUGAAAUCUGGCCUUCUGGUCCGAGUUGUAAUUUGUAGAAGAUGCUUUUGGUGCGGUGCCUUCCGAGUUCCCUGGAACGGGACGCCUUAGAGGGUGAGAGCCCCGUACGGUUGGACGCCUAGCCUCUGUAAAGCUCUUUCAACGAGUCGAGUAGUUUGGGAAUGCUGCUCAAAAUGGGAGGUAAAUUUCUUCUAAAGCUAAAUAUUGGCCAGAGACCGAUAGCGCACAAGUAGAGUGAUCGAAAGAUGAAAAGCACUUUGAAAAGAGGGUUAAAUAGCACGUGAAAUUGUUGAAAGGGAAGGACUUAUGACCAGACUUUUUCCUAGCGAAUCAUCCGGUGUUCUCACCGGUGCACUUCUCUUGGUUUAGGCCAGCAUCGGUUUCUGUAGGGGGAUAAAAACUUUAGGAAUGUGGCUCCUCCGGGAGUGUUAUAGCCUUUUGUAUAAUACCCUUCUAGGGACCGAGGUACGCGCUUCUGCAAGGAUGCUGGCGUAAUGGUCAUCAGUCACCCGUCUUGAAACACGG